AAUUGAAAGAAAAUCUUCAAGGAAUUGAAAAGAAAAUCUACAAUAAAUCUUAAAAUAAUCCUUAAGAAGCCCUAAAGAAAUAUUAGAAUAAUCACAAAUAUAUCUUAAAUAAAUUUCAGCCAAGUUCUAAUUUAAUCCUAGUUGAAACCUUAAUGGACUUCAAUAAAAUCCUAAACAAAUCCUAAAUCCUAAAUUGAUCUCUAGAUCAAAUCCUAAAUCCUAAAUUAAUACUUAGAUCAAAUCUUACAUCUUAAAUCUAAUCCUAAAUCAAACUCUAAACAAAUCCUAAAUCCUAAACCAAAUCCUAGAUCAAACCUUAGAUUCUAAACCAAAUCCUAAAUCAAAUCCUAAACAAAUUCUAAAGCCUAAAUCAAAUCUUAGACAAACCAUAAAUUAUAAACUAAAUCCUAGAUCAUAAUUUAGAUCCUAAAUCAAAUCCUAAAUCCUAAACCAAAUUCUAACCCCAC
rnacentral:lncRNA from 1 species